CUACUUCCAUGUGUGGAUGAUGGAGUGGGAAUAUUGUUUAGUAAGAACUUCAUAAUUGCGAUAAAUGAUUACUGUUGCCUUUUGAUGAAGAUUACCUGAACAUUACUUAUUACCAGCUAUUAAUUUGGUAUUUUCUUAUUUUACUGUGGCAUUAUGAUCAUGACAUUGAUGGAGUGUUUCUAAGUCCUUGUUUCACAUUUCAGUUCUUUAGUUGGUGCAAUUUUAUUUGCCAGCAACAUUUCUCUAGCCGUAUAAGCUUUGAAUAAUAAUUUUUUUUGUUAUAAGAACGUAACACAUAGAUGCUUAUUUUGACAAUUAUGUCUUCCAAAUUUUGAAACAAUCAAAUUCUUUUUAUUUUCACGGUGGUGCAGUUUCAAUCUUCAUACUGUCACUUGUAUAUGAAUGCUGCUCAUAUUUAGUCAUUUGGAAUCUUGAGAGUUCAAGUACUGGACGGUGGUCCCUAAAUAAUGAAUCAAGUCUUCUCAUCUCAUAAAUUGCUUAAGGUAUAAACCAAUCAUUCAUGAUCUAAUGAUAGCUCUUCACAACAGGGAACUCCGGCGACCUUCUCUGGGAGUUUAUGCUACAAACUUUUACACAGCUGAAAUAUAUUUCAUAGAAAAGGUUAUUCAAAAGAAUCCGAGUAUUUGCAAUGGAGUUUUUGUUGAGAAGGUA
rnacentral:lncRNA from 1 species